rnacentral:ncRNA from 17 species
CAAAAGUUUUCUCAGUGUAUCUCCCAUUGACAUUGAGUUCUCCUACAACAGCAGUACCUCGACUCAGUAAAAGUCGGGGUUUUU